rnacentral:lncRNA from 1 species
AACAGAAGUUCCGGGAGUCAAAAGCCAGUGGAAAACAAGUAUUCCCCGAAGACAAAGUCUUAUGAAAGGGAGACAGUGAAAGUAGUACAACUUAACCCAGAAAAGCUAUAGCCAAAAUAUGAAACUAAGCCUUUAAACAAUCUUAACUUACUUGAAAGAAACUCAAGGAUCAAACUAACAAGGAACUAAUAGAAAGAGGAAAUCUAGCACAAAAUUCUAAAAGAAAAUAAGAUAUUAAGAGGGAAAGAACCGAAUCUCUCACUUAACCCUCGUCCCAAGAACCUUUACACUUAACCCGCGACCUGGCAAAACCAUGAGUGCAAUCCAAUCAACCUGAAACUUCUGCAAGAGCCUCAACCACGAGAUCCCAAAGCUUGAAGAAAAAGUAAACACUUCGACGAGCCGCUUUUAAAACCCAAAACCAAAUUACGCAGAGGAGAGAACCAUGUAGAAUCUGCGAAAUUACCUAACCGGGAAACACCAACCACUUCGAGGAGGACAUCCACUAGAAGAACGACUCCCUGAAAUUUUGCCUCAAAGAAAACAAUCGAACAAGUUCUGGAGUGCUUACACGAGCAAGAGAAGAGAAGAGCAGCCGAAGAUGGGAUGCCUAUGAUGUGUUGGGUUUCAUGGGAUGCUCUCUCAAGACCGAAAGGAGCUGGCGGUUUGGGCUUUAGGGAAAUAGAAAACUUCAAUGAUGCUCUACUGGGGAAACUUAGCUGGAGAAUUCUAAAGAACCCUCAAUCCUUCUUGGACAGGUCUUACUUGGGAAAUAUUGCCAUAACAAAUCCUUUAUGAACUGCUCAUUACCAUCAAACCCUUCUCAUGGUUGGCGUGAAAUUAUGGCGGGACGAGAAGUCUUAAGGAAAGGACUGGGCUGGCUAGUUGGUAAUGGGGAAAGUAUUAAGGUCUGGGAGGAUGCUUGGCUGUCCACUUCUACUCCCAUAUCGGCUUGUGGUCCACCGUCACUUACAGCAGAGCAGUUGAGGGUCAAAGAUCUCCUCCGUGAAGACAACUCCUGGGACGUGAAUAUGAUCCGCUCUCACUUACCUCUCCUAAAAACUAACAUCCGCAGCCUUCGACCUAGCUGCUGCAAAACAGAGGACAUCCUUGCCUGGCUGCCAAACAAACCAGGGAUCUACUCAUCUAAAUCAGGCUACAAUCUCAUAAAAAACAACAAGGCUGAUCCCCACCUCUCAGAGAUCAACUGGUCAAAAAAUGUCUGGCAAACAAAAAUCUCACCUAAGCUCAAGCACUUUCUCUGGAAAGUGGCUUCUGGUGCUCUCCCUGCAGGCGAACAACUGGCUUCUAGGGGCCUGCAACUUGACACAGCAUGUAAGCGGUGUGGAGAGAAGGAAUCAAUUCUGCACUUACUAAUCCACUGUCCGUUUGCAUCAACAGUCUAGAAUAUGGCUCAUCUCUCUAGAUAACCUAACUACCAGAUCCUAGUGAACCCAAAAGCCCUAAUUCUAGGGCAUCAAAAAUGCAUCAACCUCCCUCCAACAGGCCUCUCCCAUGUGGCUCUCUUCCCCUGGAUUCUUUGAUCAUUUGGUCAGCAGGAAAUCAACUCCUCUUUACAGACAAGGCUUUUUCAUAACAUGACACUAUCCAGAAGGCGAUAAGAGAUGCUAUUGAAUGGCACCAGUCCCAGCUAGGAAAAGAGACAAAGACCUCUACAACAACUCCAGUUGUUAGAGCCAAUCCUCUCCCAUGUUCCUCGGCCUUGAUUGUAGAGACCGAUGCCUCAUGGUUAGAAGCAUCUCAGGGUUGUGGCUUAGGCUGGGUGGGGGGAGAUAAGCAGAGUACAAUCUGCUUCAAAAACUCUACAACGGAACAGUAUGUAGCUUCUGUCCUUCAAGAUGAAGCUUUAGCAAUCAAAGCGGGACUCCAGACGGCCAUAGCCAUGGGUUUCACCACAGUCGAUAUCAAAUCGGACUCUAAGUCUCUUAUUGAGCUGCUUCGAUCGAAUAAGGUUACUAAUGAGCUAGUUGGUCUUCUACAUGACAUUAGGAAUCUAGCAUCUACUCUAGCAUCUGUAUUCUUUCAGUUUAUUCAUCGUACGGCCAAUGUUAUAGCCGACGAGAUGGCAAAACGUGCUUUAAGCACCCUUGUUUCCUCCUCGAACGGAGCCUUUCCCUCUUAAUUUUAAUGAAAUUCGCAGUUGACAAAAAAAAAACCCAGAAAAGCUAUAGCCAAAAUAUGAAACUAAGCCUUUAAACAAUCAACUUACUUGAAAGAAACUCAAAGAUCAAACUAACAAAGAAUUAAUAGAAAGAGGAAAUCUAGCACAAAUUUCUAAAAGAAAAUAAGAUACGAAGAGGGGAAGAACCGAAUCUCUCACUUAACCCUCGUCCCAAGAACCUUUACACUUAACCCGCGACCUGGCGAAACCAUGAGUGCAAUCCAAUCAACCAAAAACUUUUGCAAGAGCCUCAACCACGAGAUCCCAAAGCUUGAAGGAAAAGUAAACACUUCGACGAGCCGCUUCUAAAACCCAAAACCAAAUUACGCAGAGGAGAGAACCAUGUAAAAUCUGCGAAAUUACCUAACCGGGAAACACCAACCACUUUGAGGAGGACAUCCACUAGAAAAACGACUCCCUGAAAUUUUGCCUCAAAGAAAACAAUCGAACAAGCUCUGGAUUGCUUCCACGAGCAAGAGAAGAGAAGCGCAGCCGAAGAAUCACAAUCCACACCACAAACGAAAGCAAGCUUAAGAUGGAGAAAAAGCAGCCCUAAAACUAAGGCCAAAGAAAGCCUAACCGGAUAUGAUACGUAUAACAUAGAGUUCAAAUUUGAAUGGGCCUAUAAAGAUUAUAUCCCAAUACAAAGCCCAAUUGACAACAAAGAGAGAUGCUGAAGGAUAAUCUUCACCACACGUGGGAAGCUGAGAACAUGAUAAGAACGUGCCACGUGUUGCAGUAAAGCAACAUGUCAUCGACCACCAACCUCCGUCACCUGAUACACCAAUUCCAUUGAAAAAAUCAUCGCCGGAAAACAAUAUCCGGCUAACGAUUCUUUAGUUUUUCACCAACUUUUGUAGAUACGGCUAAAGAGACAUAUAAAACAGAUAAAAAAACUCAAUCGGUUGCUAAAUCCAUUAAUAAUCAUUUGGGAUUCAGCGAACAAAGUCCAACAGAGAAUGAUAAGAUUUGAAAUUCUACCACCGUAUGCUAAUCAAAUUGAAACUUAGAUAAUCAAGUAAGAACGGCUGAGAGUCAAUCUAAAAUUAGCAAAGGAACAGAUCUUCAUACCAUAAAAUCUUAGUCGCAAAACUGUGAAGCUAUCUUAAAAACGGUUAGAAAAACAAACAUCAGAUCCAAAAGAAACAUGCCGGAGAGAAUCGCACUUAGGCAAAGAAGAUCUGCCUAAAACCACGACACCGACAUAGAUCGCACAAUUUAUUCAAGGGAAAGACAAGAAGCGGCAAUGGAUAGCCAAAACAUGAACUGGACCACGCCGGAAACAAAACCGGACCACGCCGAAAACAAAGCCGGAUCUCAUCCAGACAAGGAACACCGGUAACCAAACCGGAAGGUGAAACAAGGAUUGAGUUCUCUCUCUCAAGAGUCCUAGAGAGAGAAGAGA